AACGAACGCUGGCGGCAUGCCUAACACAUGCAAGUCGAACGAGACCUUCGGGUUUCGCGGCGCACGGGUGCGUACUCCGUUGGAACCUGCGUUUGGGUUCGGAAUAACUUCCCGAACGGGGUGCUAAUACCGGCUAAUGUCCUCGGUCCAAAGAUUUAUAGCCUUUGGGUGUGCCCGCGUUGGUUUAGAUCGUUGUUAGGGUAGAGGGCUACCAAGCCGCGGGUUAUUAGCUGGUCAGUGAGGAUGAGAAGCAACACUGGGACUGAGACACGGCACAAGGGCCUACGGGAAGCAGCAGGGGGGAAGAUUGGAGAAUGGGCGAAGGCCUGAUCCAGCAAGGCCGCGGGAGGUAUGAAGGUCUUAGGGGUGAAAAGCUCUUUUAGCUGGGAGGGUAAUGACGGUACCGGGAGAAGAAGCACCGGCUAACUCCGUG
rnacentral:rRNA from 1 species